CCUACUACUGCAAAUGAUGGACAGACGAUACUAUGCGAAGUGAGGCACCAAACUUUGACGACACCACAAACAGUCGGUCUAACGAUAGCUGUAAAUGCAUCAGACACUCUGCAAACAGUCAUUCCAAUGUCUUCACCAGAACUGACAUGGGGAGAAAUUGUUGCAAUUGUUCUUGGAAUAGUUUUCUUUUUAUUACUUUUAUUAGUUUGUGGAUUAUUACAAGGUUGUUGUGCAUGCUGUUGUGGAUCUGGUGCUAGAAUAUAUGAAGAAAAACGUGAGGCAAAACUUAUGUAUCAAAUUGCCGUUAUAGAAAG